AAAGAAAUUUUUCCUUCCUUCUUCCUCCCGAUUUCUUCUUCUCCUCCCAUACCCUAGCAGCCUCACGCUCCUCUCUUCCCUUCUGUUCGCCGCAGUCCAGCCGCCGCCCCUUCUUCUCUUUUCUUCCUCUUUCGUUCGACGUCGACGGUCAGACCAAGCCAAACCGCCUCUGCAACCGUCGGCCGCCAUCUCUGUUCGCGAAGCAAGGCCGCCGCCCAUUCCUUUCUCCUCUGUUUUCCGCCCAGCGCCGUGUGACCCUCUGCCCAGCGCCGCGCACCUCUGUCUCCGCGUCGUUGCUCUGUCUCCGUCGAAGCCAAAACCCAGUAAUCGUUCCUCUCUUCUCUUUCCGUUCGCAGCCCAGCAACCGCCGGCGUCACCACGUCGCAGGUCGCGCGUUUCUACUCCCUUCCCCCAGCCGUUGGCGCGUUUCGCCUCCCUUAGUGGACGCCAACCGCCUAAACCCGCUACACUCCGACCGCGUCUGUCUUCACCUCCGUGAAGCCGUCGACGCAUACAUCUCGUGAAGUCAUACACGGAUCCAAGCCGAUCUCUUCCUAAAUUAUGUGUCCCCUAUCAAGUCGACGUUCUUCUGCUCGUUGUAAGACGGUACAACGAAGUUACGAUUUGAAGCCGAUUUUCUUUUUCAGUUGAGUCGCAUUCAGUGUUGCUCUAUUUACAGCCGCUUGAUUGUCAUUUUUGCACAGCCGUGAACCAUUAGGCUCAUAUUUGGGUACAUCUUGAUUCAGUGAGCGAAUCCUUGAUUUUCCAAAAGGUUGAAGUGAACUUGAUUUUCCACUUCUUGGGAUUUGAUUCAUUGGAUUUAGUAGAUUGAAGAACUUGAAUAAAAGUGAGGUAAGAGAUUUUCUACUGGACUCACCUAUGCUUUUGAAUUAUGCUUUUGAAUUGUGAUGUCUGUAUAAUCACCUAUAAUCACCUCUGAUUGAAUAAAGAUGUUGAGACGACAUAUAUAUACGUAUGGAUAUAGAUUCGGUGUUGAAUGUAUACUGUGGAUGACUGAAAAUAUAUAUAUACACAUGGGUUGAAGUAGACUUGAUGUUGAAUGCA